rnacentral:rRNA from 1 species
AGCAGCCGCGGUAAUUCCAGCUCCAAUAGCGUAUAUUAAAGUUGUUGCAGUUAAAAGCUCGUAGUUGAAUUUCAGGCCUGGCUGGGCGGUCCGCCCUUCGGGUGAGUACUGCCUGUGGUCGGGUCCUACCUUCUGGCGAAGCGUCAUGGCCUUAACCGGCCGUGGCGGGGAACCAGGACUUUUACUGUGAAAAAUUAGAGUGUUUAAAGCAAGCUAACGCUUGAAUACAUUAGCAUGGAAUAAUGAAAUAGGACGUUCGAUCCUAUUUUGUUGGUUUCUAGGAUUGACGUAAUGAUUAAUAGGGAUAGUUGGGGGCAUUAGUAUCCAAUUGUCAGAGGUGAAAUUCUUGGAUUUAUUGAAGACUAACUACUGCGAAAGCAUUUGCCAAGGAUGUUUUCAUUAAUCAAGAACGAAGUUAGGGGAUCGAAGACGAUCAGAUACCGUCGUAGUCUUAACCAUAAAACUAUGCCGACUAGGGAUCGGAUGAUGUUAAUUUUUUAAUGACUCAUUCGGCGCCUUA